rnacentral:lncRNA from 1 species
CACUGUCCUAUACACAACAAAGAAUUUUUAACCCAAAUUCAACCAUAUUACAUUACAAGAACACUUUUGCUAUGAUUAAAAUUUACAAAGGAAAAGGAAUAAAAAUCCUUAAAUUACUACUUGCUGCUACUUCAUCAUGAAUUGCUGCUAUCAUCCCUGAGCAUCCAUUUUAGCAGAUUCCCAAGUUAGAAAUCUAACAAUCUUUAACUAUUACAUCCUUCUUCGCUUGGUCUAUUUUCUUUGAGGCUGAAACCAAAAUUUCAGUGUUCUUUGCAAGGCUGUUCUUGGCAUUGAAAACAUUUAUAAGUUUAAUCUCUAGCAAACUUCAAACCAUUUAUAAAUUUCUAUGACAUCACCUUCUAACCUGGAAAUAUAGCAAUCAAAGGAGUUAAAAUACAUUGGUAGUUAAGGUUUCUUAAACAUUUCAUCGAACAUGUAAUAUGCAAUUCUUUACGAUAUAGUCGUCAACUCUAUUAUGUUUAGGGUGUUAAAAAAAGAACAAUGACUAACUUUUUUUAUUAAGACCGGAGAAACAUCUAACAUGCACAUGUUGCUGGUAUUUAAAGAUUUUUUUGGAUAUUUUAUCGAACAUCUAAUCUAAUAUGCAAUUCUUUACUAUAUAGCCACUAACUCCAUUAACAUAAGAGAAGAAUUAAAAAAAUGGAUAACUAAUGAGAAGAGAUAACAUGAGAUUGCUUGACCAAAAUUAAAAGGUGUUUAUAAAUAUGGACAAACCUUCACCCAAGAUAUUAGUUACCUCUAAUACAUGCCCUCCAAUAUUCACCACAACCAUGGUAUCCCUAUCAUCAACAAUCAGAAGACCAAUCGUUCUUCUAUCUCUCUUGUGCAUAGCAAUCUUCCAUGAGAUGAAAUACAGUAGAGUAGAACUAGUUGAUUAAUACAUAAGACUCUGUUAUGUUUACGGACAAGACAAGAAAGAAAGAAAGGAUAAUAAAACCCUUUGAGAG